rnacentral:lncRNA from 1 species
UUUGGCCUAACAAAUUUGAGAAGGCCAAAUUUUUUUCUUGGUCCAUGGGAAAUAGCUUACCGAGGGAGGAUGUUUUAGGCUAUAAAUGGGAUUAUAGCCUAUGGUGGGAGAUGCCCUAAGGAGUUGCCUAGAUUAGGACUGGGCGUCUGGACCCGAAAACCCGAGAACCCGGCCCGAACCGAUCAAAAAAGCCCGAUUCGGUUCGGUUUUGUAUCGGAAAAUUCCGGUUCGGUGCAAAGCCCGACCCGAAUUACAAUUUAUCGGGUCGGUCUCGGGCUUGAUAUUUUUUGGGACCGAGAGACCGAUACGGACCGAAUCAUCCUUCUGUUCUGCUCUUUCUUCAUUCCCCUUCUUCCUCUGCUCUCUCUUCUGCUAUCCUAGGUUGGAUCACCUGCAAAAAACUCUUUAAGCUUAGGAUCAUCAAUCUCAUCCUCACUCCUCUUCUCUCCCAUGCCGCCCCGGCUUUUCUUGAUGGCCUCCUGAGCUUGAGAUUGCAGUAGAUUGAUGAAGAAUGAACUGGAAGAAAGAGGAGAGUAUUUUGCAGUUGAUGAAAGACGAGGAAGAGGAAGGAACUGAAGAAAGAAUCUGGGGAUUAUGGGUUUUCGAAACUGCAUAA